rnacentral:rRNA from 1 species
GGGGAAUAUUCGACAAUGGGCGCAAGCCUGAUCCAGCCAUGCCGCGUGGGUGAAGAAGGCCUGAGGGUUGUAAAGCCCUUUUGUUGGGUAAGAAAAGCAGCCGGCCAAUACCCGGUUGUUCUGACGGUACCUACCGAAUAAGAACUGGCUAACUUCGUGCCAGCAGCCGCGGUAAUACGAAGGGUGCAAGCGUACUCGGAAUUACUGGGCGUAAAGCGUGCGUAGGUGGUGGUUUAAGUCCGUUGUGAAAGCCCUGGGCUCAACCUGGGAACUGCAGUGGAUACUGGAUCACUAGAGUGUGGCAGAGGGUAGUGGAAUUCCCGGUGUAGCAGUGAAAUGCGUAGAGAUCGGCAGGAAAAUCAGUGGCGAACGCGACUGCCUGGGCCAACACAGACACUGAGGCACGAAAGCGUGGGGAGCAAACA